GAUGAACGCUGGCGGCGUGCCUAAUACAUGCAAGUCGAACGAGGUGCUUGAGUAGCAAUACGAGAGUAUCCUAGUGGCGAACGGGUGAGUAACGCGUUGGUGACCUACCCCAAAGUGUGGGAUAACAGUUCGAAAGGACUGCUAAUACCGCAUGUGGUUAUCGGAUUUAGAAACUGAUAACUAAAGGAGCAAUUCGCUUUGGGAGGGACCUGCGUCCCAUCAGCUAGUUGGUGAGGUAAUGGCUCACCAAGGCUACGACGGGUAGGGGACCUGAGAGGGUGACCCCCCACAAUGGAACUGAAACACGGUCCAUACGCCUACGGGUGGCAGCAGUAGGGAAUAUUGCACAAUGGGCGAAAGCCUGAUGCAGCAACGCCGCGUGUGCGAUGAAGGCCUUCGGGUCGUAAAGCACUUUUCUGAGGGAUGAGCAAGGACAGUACCUCAGGAAUAAGUCUCGGCUAACUACGUGCCAGCCGCCGCAGUAAGAC
rnacentral:rRNA from 1 species